AUUUAAGGACCAGGCCUAAUUUUGAAAAGGAGGUCAUUAAGGUACCAGAUCCAGGAACAGACUAUAAGUCCCAGAAACUAGGCCAAAAGGCACCAGAUUCAGGAACAGACCAUAAAAUCCAGGGACAAGGAACCCUCCCAAAGAACAGCCUGGGGAUGACCACAAAAAUGGGGAAAUAUCUCAGAAUGGGCCAUCUGUACUGGGCAGCCCAUCUCAUCCCAUGGUUAAAACGUUCAUGACAUAGGAAAGCAGACCACUGACCACCUGUGACCCCCUAGAGUCCGCCACUUGGUUUCUUAUAAGAAGGCCUAUACGCCUUCAGCUUUGCCAUUUUGGAGAAUGGUUGACCUCCGCUGGUUGUUUCUGCAGAAUAAACACUCUUUGUUUUUGCGUGCCUACUCUCUGAGUCUGGGGUUUUCCCUCAGUGAUUUUCAGACACUUACACUUCAAUUAAACAUCAAUGACUCAAUUAUUUCCCCUUGAGUUCCUGUUUCAACUUUAUAUUGCCUCUCAAUUAUUAGUGCUAAUCGGUCCACUUCCACACUAAAAGUUCCAUUUCUCUGUGAUUUUGUAGGACUUGAUUUGAACUCCCUAUAGAGCUUUCAAGUAGCAUGCGCUAUGAUCUGCAUUCUACUGUACAUGUUGUCUCCUGUUUGCUUUGAACAGUGCACUACACAUGGCACUGAAGAAACACCCUUCUUUUUUUCUUAUGCCACAAAAUAAAAUAAACAAGAAUCUGCAGGCACUCGUCUUCUCUGUGAGCUUCACCUACUCCCAAGAUACAUGUAUCUCCCAAGCUUGCUGUCCAGCAAAGACCUCCAGCUAAGCACUUUAGCCAGGUAAGCCACUGUAAAAACCUGGCAGAAAGAAGAAAAUUCCAGGAAGAUGAAGUAGUGAUGGAAAUAGGAGGAAUGGACUGGGGAAAAGGUAGGAAGUGUGAGCAGGAUAGAAGAUGGGAGGUUCCUGUGAUCCUUCCUGGUGAGAUGGGCAAGAAAUGCCUGUUCACCCAGACAGAAUAUCAAAGGACCAAUUACAUUAUCUCAUCCAAGUCCAUCAUGGUGAAUCAGUGACUUUAAUGGAGUUACUUGCAAUGUGGAUAUCUUGGUCAGCUAAAUUACAGAAAAACAAACAAACAAAAAACAAAACAAAAAGCCUCUACCCUCCUACCUUCUAUGUGCUCUAGCACCCCUUCAAGACCACGUACAGCUAGGACAGGGUUAAACACAGCUGGAGGUGGGCUGCUAGCAUCUGAAGUGAGGAUCUGACCCUCCACCCCCACCCCUUGACUACCGAAUGCUACUAGGCAUGAGUGUUUCCAGUGGGUAACCCCAGCUGCUGUAAUUUCAAAAUAGCACAAUGGUCAUGUUAUGUCUACAGACCAACAUUCCACUAUAGGCAGAGAGCUCUGUUGAGGUUUGGUCUUUUGCUAUGUAUUGUAAUGCUAAAUACUGACCCCCAAGGCCUGGUUGCCCCCAGGGAUAAGAGAGUCUGCACUACCCAAGUGACAUUCCCAAGGGACUUAUGUAACCUUGCCCUCCAAGUUAGCCCUGAUUGGUAAAGAUGCCAAAAGCCUAUAGCUGGGUAGGAGGUAGGUGGAAGUUUUGGUUACUGGGCUUGGGGUCUAAGGAAGGUGAACUAGAUGGAGAGAAGAGAAGACCCCUUGGGGUAAAAAUCUUUAAAAACAUGGUAAUGAAGGCUGGCCAAUUGGAGGGAGGUAAGAGCAAUCUAGACUGAAACGUGGCAAGUCAAAUUGUGAGAUUGUUGGCAAGAAAGUAGACAUAACAGCAUAGAGGGUAAGAUAUCUGCCCAGCUCUAGUGCAUUAAAAGAUUAUUAUAAGUAUAAAGGUUGUGUGGGAACUGAAUGAUCAAAAUCAGAGUAGAAACCACAACCCCAAAGAUUAAAUUCAUACUACAACAGAGCGUACCUCGCCAGACAUAGGAAAGGUGCAUCUCAGUAGUAGAGAGCGUAAUUACUGUGCACCAGGCCCCAAGUGCACCCUCAGACGUCAGUAAAUAGAUAGUGGUCAGGUUCAACAAGAAGCAAAAAACCAAAGGAGCAGGAGUUGGAAGAUAAUAAUGAAAGAAUAAAAGAAAAGCUAUUGGAAGGUUUCUGUAGUUGAGUCCAAG
ensembl:lncRNA